GGGUAGGUUAAAGCCAUUCCCCUUGUUCUGGCCCUACAGCCCUUGUCCGAAGCCCCUCUCCAGGUUUCUUGUUGUCUCAAUGAGGUAUUUUCUGCCUUUCUACUGCAAGAAACCCCACAUUUCUCUCCCUAAGUGACUGGCUCUCGCUCUGCUGCUGCUCUGGCUUACCCCAUGUGUCCAUCAAAGUCAAGGAUCAAUGUCAUGCUUGUUUCAGAGAUGCUGAAUUGAGUGCUUAGGGCCCGGCUCUGUGAGUGUGCCCGCUCUCAAAUCCCAGUGAGCUCAAUGAGCGCGGAAGGAGCUCAUCACCUCUGUGGAUCAGGCAGAUACCGAAGGCAGUGAAGCCUCGCUGAAGCCCAUGUUGUGCUUAAAAAGGAUCACAGCCUGGUUUGGAUUGAAGGGACCAUGAAGCUCAUCCAGUUCCAACCCUCUGCCAACUGUACCACGCAUUGUGUGCCAGGGAGAGGAGCACAAGAGGUGCUGUGGGGAGAGCAGAGCAUUACACAGAGCUCCCCAUGUCCUCACCAGCACAUCUACAGGAGGAAGCUGCCUCGCUACAACUGAUCUCUACAUUUAAAUCAAUACAAGUAAUAUCAUUUUUGCCUGCUUUGGUUGGGAACACAUUUGACUAGCCCAUAAUAAGCUACUUUAUAUGGAAAUCAGUGUCCGUGCAGUCCCUUGCUCCUGCUGAACUGUAUUGGUUUAUGGAUUCAUGUUCAGUUCUGCAGCAAUACAAGUGUUUUCUGCAGCAAAGCCCUUGGAGAGUCAUCAGCCUCCUAUGGCAUCAAGGCGUGGAAAUCUAAAGUGAAGGUUUAGGACAUCUCAGCUGUAUCAAAGUUAUGAAUUCUGCCUGCAUUCAUGAUGCUGUUGUGUUAUUUAAUGCUUCGAUGCCUAAAGGUUUGUUUCAAAGUU